CGCCUCUUCCAGGCGGGCGGGCGCGCGCGCGCUCACGCCUCCGCCGCCCCCCCCCUCCCACUGGUCUGAGCAGGCAGCUUAAGUGUCACCGCUACAACCGAGCCCAGUGCAGCACCCGUCGCCAUGGCGUGAAGAGGGGCCCCCGGGAGAUGACAACAACUAAGGAGCUUCGUUCGGCUUUCAAGUUGGGUUCAAAAGGUAUAACAGGACUUCUUCCCACUCAAUGUACAGUAAAAUAUUAUAUGAAUGAGAACCCUGGACUGAGAUGAGAAUAUAAAGAACAAGAUUGAAUAUUCUGAUCAACUGGAGAAACUCUUUUGAAGAUAAGGAGGAUCUGGAGAUUUGUCUGUCCAGUACAUGGGAAAUGGCUCUUACUGAUGCCCUCCAUCAGUAGUCUACAUUCUCUUAAGAAUUACCCUUGGUUGUCCCCAUCACCAAAAGGCUUUUUGAGGAAACAGGCAGUGUUUAAAGAAAGUAUCAGUGGACAAAAUUGUAGAGUUCAUGGGUGUUGAAUUAAUUUGGAAUAAACUCUUGGGCUCUCUAUAACUCUGCAGCCUCCUGUUUUCAAAAGGAAUAUGUUUGCUCACUUCAUUUGGAAUUUGAGGCUCCAUGAAAGAGAGGCUUCAGUCAGUUGAGGAGAAAAGUGAGGACACUCACACAUAGUCUGCAGUGACUUGUUAAAAAAGGUCUCUUAUAUCCUGAAUAUUUGCCCUCGGGACUGUGCGGGGAAUAUAUUUUAAAGAAAUGGAUGAUUGAUCGUGCCCGCCAGCUGCCUAAUAUCAUAAUUAACAAAGUUGCUACCGUGUCUGAGAAGUUUAAUCGGAAAAUUUUUUGCCAACAGUGUGAUGCUGUUGUUACCCAUAAAGAUCAGAAGCAGGGCAAAGUCGACUUUUGGACUAAUGGAGCUGCAGAACUAUGUGGGCAGAAUAAGAAGUAGAGCACCUGAAUGGAUAAUGUAAGAAGAUAAUAUAAUACAAAGGACUAUGACACAGUCUGAGCUGCGUUACUUUGAACACUAAAAUUACUUUUUAGAAUUCAGUGAGAAAAUAUACCUGCAAAGGAAUUUCAGAACUGUGGCCGAAAUGAUUAAAAAAUAGGAUUUGCUGUUAUGCUGAUUAAAAGGGACAUCCUUAUGUAAACUGUGUUGCAUACUCAAAUGAAAGCAAGUCAAUAAAAGUGAUUAGAGUUGCCAUCUCAGAAUGCACACCCUUAAACCAUAUAACCGUAAUACCGAAAAAGGUCCCCAACUCACUCAUCUUUUCAAAUUACAUCCAAACUGUCUGGGGAACUUCUCAGUGACUGGAGGUAAGACAGUUUAAUCUUUUUCUCCUGCCUCAAAUUUAGCUCACUGGAAAUCUUUUCUUUUUCUUUUUUUUCUUUUCCUUAUCAUAGCCUUGGUGCCUUUCUCAUACUGCAAUCUAUGCAUUUAAUUUUGGUGUGUCUAUCUGUUUUUGUUGCUUUAUGCAGCUCAUAAGAUUUUGCUGUCCUGAAAGCUGCAACUAUGAAACUUCCACUGUUUAUUCCACUUUAGCAUGAGAAAUUAUGCUGGUAUGCUUUUGUUUGGGGUGCCGGGAGGCUUGUUGAAUCUGAAUGCUUUUAGAUUUCAUCUUCACCUUAUAUCACAGCUUUCACCAGCCUGCAUGAUUUAUGCUUCACUUGCUUUCUUUCAUUUUAUAAAAUUCCUUUCAUUCUGUUGUUCUGCCAUUGCACUUUCCACAAAAUUAAGAAUGGGGAGAGGGGAAAAGAGGAGUUUAAAGUUUUGUAUGUUAAAUUUAUUUUUCUUUAAUUACUAUUUUGGGAGUUCAAAAUGUGAUUGAUACAGUGCUUCAGUGGUUACCACUGAACCCAUUGACCAAGAGAACUUGAUAUUAACUAUUCCAGCUAAAGAAUUCAGAAAAAGAAGUUCUCCCAGACAUGUGAUCUGAAAUUCUUGCUGGAGGCUAAUAAUGAAGGAGUCAGUAAAAGAGCCAGUGCCAUGAGAGUUAUCUCAUGGCCCCAGAUGCUGGAUAAGUUGAAGAAGGCAGAAAUCACUUCUGGAUGACAUUCAGGUCUGAAUGAUGAUUUGAAGAAGAAAAGACUAUUAUUUCCAAGCUUCAGCAAUAUAUUCCUGAAACAAAAGAUCCACUUCAGACUCUGCCACACCUAAAAAGAAGCUUUGGGGAAAUUGCCAGGCUCAAGUAUGAUGAGAGAAUUACCUACAAAGCAGAAAAUGAAAAAGGGCACAUGGAUACUGUGGAUACUUCUGUAAAGUGCCAAAGAUCUCGUACCGAUAUGUCUCACAAGAUCCAUUGGCUCUCAACAAAACCUGAAAAGGAAUUGCUCCAGUUAAGUGAACUAGAUAUCAAAUUACAGAUGAACUGUCUACCUCUGUCAGUAUUAAGAGUUACGCUGCACAAUAUUCAAGGACACAUCUUUACUUCACCAAGCUGUUGAAGCUGUUUAAUUCAUCUGAAGAUAAAGAUGCCAUGCAACUUGUUUGCCAUCAAAGUUAUUUUUGGAACGUGUAACCGAUAAUUACUACCACAGAUUGUUUGGUGGCCAUCCGCUAAUUUAUUACUUUUUAUAGUUGCAUAGAAUGAUGGGAGGAACCAGGGGGGGCCUUGCCAUCAGACUGAUUGAUCUGAUUCUUUCAGAUGUUGGUGAGGAAGGACGGCAUGCUCCAAAACCAAGCUCAUUUGUUUACCUGUUUAUCGGUGCAGUCUGCCACUCCUUGCUAACCAGUUCCUCCCUCACUCUCUGCUAUGAUCAGUGUCUUCUAGAAUGACAAACUAGGCAAUGAUAUUCCUUUCAUCUUCUCCAGGCUGAAAUUCCUUGUUCUAAAUAUUUCUUCUCAAUGAGGCAUUGAGAGCCAACACAUAAAGCAACACAGAUGACUAGUUUCCACUGUGCCUUAUUCUGAACACUUGGCAAAUGUCUGCUUGAUUUUACCCUGCCACAGCUAAGAACUAUAGAUUAUUAUAUAUUAAUAUGAAUAAUAGUAUAUUACUAUUGUGUUUUAAUAUGCUCUUCUGAAAUAAGAAUCAUUUUUCUUUUCUUCUCUUCACAUUGUGUGGGUAUAGAACAGAAUUUGCAACUAUGAUAUUUUAUCAGGAGAUACUCUCUGGAAGUACUCUAAUGAUGUGCAUGCCUUCAAAAGGAAAUUAGUUGAAGAGGCUUAAAUUUCAAUAUUACAUCAUAACUUAUCCUGAAGAUAAUUUGUUUAAACUACGUAAGUGUAAUCCAGGAACACCAGUAAAUGAAAUACAGCAGUACGCUCUGAGAAUAGCAGGAGUAACAGGGAACUAUGCUUUAUUGUUAUUUGAUAUAACAGUGAAUUACAAUAAUUUAUGACCAUGGAACUAGCUGUGCAAUGACCUUGAAGGACUGAAAGAAUACAGGGAAUGUUCUUUUUGAAGAAAUAAAUACAAAUGCAAAGCAAUCAACCCUACCUAUAUUCAAGAAAUGCAAGGAUUUUUAAUUUGGCCAUGAGAUAAUAUAUUUUGAAAAAAAAAAAUAUGAAGAAUGCCCAAAUUACCACAAUUACUAUAAGCUGUUGUAAAUGGAUAUUAUAGCUAUUGUUCCAAUUAAGAAAACAUAUUUAAUAUGUACUACUUGUGAUUGAAAAAAAUGCAUAAUAUUCAAAGCCAGAUUUUAAAAUUCAGAUUAUUUUUCAGUUUUCUAAAUUCUCUAAAAUACUGUCUUGUCCUCUUAUUUAUUUAAUAAAUGCAGCUAUUGUUGACUUUUGAAUUGUAAAUUAUUUUCUACCAUUAUCUUUAAUUAUGUAAUAAUAUAUAACUUUGAA